rnacentral:rRNA from 1 species
GACGAACGCUGGCGGCGUGCCUAAUACAUGCAAGUAGAACGCUGAAGAGAGGAGCUUGCUCUUCUUGGAUGAGUUGCGAACGGGUGAGUAACGCGUAGGUAACCUGCCUUGUAGCGGGGGAUAACUAUUGGAAACGAUAGCUAAUACCGCAUAACAAUGGAUGACCCAUGUCAUUUAUUUGAAAGGGGCAAAUGCUCCACUACAAGAUGGACCUGCGUUGUAUUAGCUAGUAGGUGAGGUAACGGCUCACCUAGGCGACGAUACAUAGCCGACCUGAGAGGGGGAUCGGCCACACUGGGACUGAGACACGGCCCAGACUCCUACGGGAGGCAGCAGUAGGGAAUCUUCGGCAAUGGGGGCAACCCUGACCGAGCAACGCCGCGUGAGUGAAGAAGGGUUUCGGAUCGUAAAGCUCUGUUGUAAGUCAAGAACGAGUGUGAGAGUGGAAAGUUCACACUGUGACGGUAGCUUACCAGAAAGGGACGGCUAACUACGUG